rnacentral:lncRNA from 1 species
UUCUACUUCCUGUUCGAGUCGUAAGAGAAGAAAAGGCUUGGUUUAACGGAAGCUGGUGUUAGGGUAGGACUGAGAGUUUCCCUGUUUGAAAGACUAAGGAUGUAGAGAUAAAGAAGAGCCCUAGAGGAAGCAGGAGAUUGAGCUAGACCAGACCUUGAUACUCACCUUCGUCAGGAAGAUAUCAACUUUGAUAACAGCUUGAUCC